rnacentral:rRNA from 1 species
UUCGGGGGUACACGAGUGGCGAACGGGUGAGUAACACGUGGGUAAUCUGCCCUGCACUUCGGGAUAAGCCUGGGAAACCGGGUCUAAUACCGGAUAUGAACUCCUGCCGCAUGGUGGGGGUUGGAAAGUUUUUCGGUGCAGGAUGAGCCCGCGGCCUAUCAGCUUGUUGGUGGGGUAAUGGCCUACCAAGGCGACGACGGGUAGCCGGCCUGAGAGGGUGAUCGGCCACACUGGGACUGAGACACGGCCCAGACUCCUACGGGAGGCAGCAGUGGGGAAUAUUGCACAAUGGGCGAAAGCCUGAUGCAGCGACGCCGCGUGGGGGAUGACGGUCUUCGGAUUGUAAACCCCUUUCAGUAGGGACGAAGCGCAAGUGACGGUACCUGCAGAAGAAGCACCGGCUAACUACGUGCCAGCAGCCGCGGUAAUACGUAGGGUGCGAGCGUUGUCCGGAAUUACUGGGCGUAAAGAGCUCGUAGGCGGUUUGUCACGUCGUCUGUGAAAUCCCUCGGCUUAACCGGGGGCGUGCAGGCGAUACGGGCAGACUUGAGUACUACAGGGGAGACUGGAAUUCCUGGUGUAGCGGUGAAAUGCGCAGAUAUCAGGAGGAACACCGGUGGCGAAGGCGGGUCUCUGGGUAGUAACUGACGCUGAGGAGCGAAAGCAUGGGUAGCGAACAGGAUUAGAUACCCUGGUAGUCCAUGCCGUAAACGGUGGGCGCUAGGUGUGGGGUCCUUCCACGGACUCCGUGCCGUAGCUAACGCAUUAAGCG